rnacentral:rRNA from 1 species
UGGUUGUCGUCAGCUCGUGUCGUGAGAUGUUGGGUUAAGUCCCGCAACGAGCGCAACCCCUACUUUGCUAGUUACCAUCAUUAAGUUUGGGGACUCUAGCGAGACUGCCAGUGAUAAACUGGAGGAAGGUGGGGAUGACGUCAAAUCAUCAUGCCCCUUAUGACCUGGGCUACAAACGUGAUACAAUGGCUGGAACAAAGGGAUGCGAAGCAGUGAUGUGGAGCGAAACCCAUAAAAACAGUCUCAGUUCGGAUUGAAGUCUGCAACUCGACUUCAUGAAGUCGGAAUCGCUAGUAAUCGCGGAUCAGAACGCCGCGGUGAAUACGUUCUCGGGGUUU